rnacentral:lncRNA from 1 species
GUGCUGAUAAGCUAUCCAUCUACUUCCCAACUCUGUUUCCAUCAUCUUUGCAACUUCUUCAACCUAUUAUAACAAUAAUUUCAUAAAAACUUGUUCAAUGCUUCAAAAAAAUCCCUUAUUUCUAUGAGAUGAUUGAUCUGUAUCCGACACCAAAAUAACUCUAGCACUCUUAUAAGAAGAAAUAAUCCCUAAAAAACAGAAUCAAAUCAAGAACAUGAAUAAAAAAGAAAUUGACAUAGGAAUCAAAUAGUAGAGGUGUCAAAAGGGGAAGUUGAUUGGUUUUUGAACCUUGUUACCAUGUAUUGCAAUAGCUGGGAAACCACUUCUGCACAACCAGUUUUAAGUUUAUGAAAAUUCAAAAGAAAUGAUUUUUAACUAACUUAGAACAAGAUACUAAGAUUGCAUCAGUGAGAAAAUUAUGCUAUUGAAAAAACCAGAAAUAACCAAAGAAGCUUCAAGUUUCCUAUGUAAGUGUAACAAACAAUAAUUGAACUAACUAUAUAGUCAAGUCAAAGGGUAAGAGAAUAUAUAGCCAAAUCAACACUUGUAUAAUCUCUGAAGCUGAAUCUGCUUAAUCACACUGUAAUAUUUUCAUAAAAGGGUCAAUAAAAAAAAGGAAUCAAAUCUCAAUCAAAAUAGCAGAAAUUAACUAAACACAACCCAACUUUAAUUAAAGCAUUUUCAAAAGCAUAACCAAAGAGUUAUGAAACUAAACUACUAGUACUCUUUAGUUAACUAUAGAUCAGAAGCAUAGAAAAACUAAAUAUAGGAAAUUAUAGAACAAAAAAACACAGAAAAAAUUGUUCUUUUUAUAGAAACUAGUAACCACAAAACAGGAAGAUUGAAACUUUACCAAUUAAUGGUGUGGUUUAAAAACUUAUUGACCACUUUUGGAGAAUAAAAUAAAUUUAAAAGGAAACUGAAUAUAUAAGUUUAGUUCUAAUAAUAACAAUGUUGUGGGGACAUCUAAUGGCUUUAGAAAAAACUACCAGCAUUGAACAAUCAAUGUUACAUAAAUCCAUAGGUUGAACAAUCAGUGUUUGAACAAUUUCAUAUCCAUAGGUUGACAUAGCCUGUUGAGACAAUUUAAAGUUACAUAAAUCCAUAGGUCACCUUAUCAACAAAAUACUAUUUAUAACCAAAAAAAUACCUUCUCAAGCUCUUCUUCCACUACUUUUGUAAUUUCAUUUUUCUGUUCAAAAGCAUCAUCGAAGUUGAAUUGAGUUUUGGAACACUUGCAUGCCUCUUUGAUUCGAUAUUUCUGAUGCCAAAUAGCAAAGUCACACCAGAACGUAAUGAAAAGAACUGCAAAAUACAAGGCUAAAACUAACAAAACAAAACGUAGCAGGCAAAGUAUCUAACAAACCAAUAUUCAUCAAAAUCACAUAUCAGUCGCUGGUAGACACAUAAUCAAUCAACAAAGGCUACCAAGAAAAUCAAAUACAACAAACCUACAUAAUCAAUCAACAAUACAAACAAGCUAAGCAGCUAAACCAUCACAGAAAAUAUCCACACAAUCCAUUAUUAUAAAGCUGAGAACGAAUUUAAAGCCAAACAUACAUGAAGUAACAAGAAUCCAAACUCACUUUCAACGGGUUACAAAAUGCAAAAGGGAUUAACAACAGAAAAAUAAAUGGAUAUAGGAAAAGGGAAAACAUUUACUUCCUUCACGCCUUCAACUAUGGAAGCAAUCCUUCAAUUUUUGGGUUGAAUUUGGGAUUUAGGGUUUAACAAAUUUUAGGGAAUGAUGGAGAGAAGAAGGUUUUAGGGUUCAAUUGAUGGUGAACAAUGGAGAGAAAGGAUUGAUUUCAUCUAAGAGAAGGGUUGCUUUUGUUGGAGAGGGAUUGAAUUCGUAGGAGAAAACGGCGAGUUCUUCAAAGAUGACGGCGAGUUCGUCGGAAUACGGAGAGCGCAGUGAGUUGAGAGAAGGCGAGUGGGGAGUGAGGAACGAUGAUGAGGAACAUGAAGACGGGUAGUGAGAAGACGUACAGUGAGUUGAGACUUGAGAGACGGUGGAGACCCUGAAUCGAACUGAGUAAAAAUAGAGUGAAGUGUAUUUGGGCGUAAAAUUCCUUUUAUUUUAUUUUUUU